AACACACAGAAUAAAACCUUGGAGGAAAUCAGAGGAAUGUUCCAGAGAAACUACAGGAACUAUUGACCCCCCUUCUCCUUCCCCCGGCGUCAACAGCAUUUACACAUGGAAUUAGUCAAAGAGACAGAUGCAAACAAAACUAGAGCAUUUUAAUGGUCGUCAAUGUAAAAUCUAUACAAUGGCAAAUUCCUCAGUUACGGGUGAUACCAAGCAACUAACAUCAGGCAGAAGCUACAUCGAUGGAAUUGGGAAGAUGGACAUUCAACAGGGAUGGAGAGAAGAUGGCUACUGGAUGUUCUCUGGACUGGAUCCUGUAUCAGCAGCAGCAGUGGAAGUUCCAUGUUGGAUCUGGCUAUCAUCAAUAUAAUUUAUUAAUAUCAGAAUACAGACCUUUAGACUAAUGUGAGAAGUGUUGUCCAGUGUUCUUCUGGACAGGUAUAUAAUGGGACACUUUACGUUUCCUCAGUCCCUUCUGGACAGGUACAUAAUGGGACACUUCACGUUUCCUCAGCCCCUUCUGGACAGGUACAUAAUGGGACACAUCACGUUUCCUCAGUCCCUUCUGGACAGGUACAUAAUGGGACAGUCCACGUUUCAUCACAUCCCCCAUGGAAAGUUACAGUCCACUUUAACCACCAACACCCCUUGCCUCCAUAACGUACAUGGGACAGUCCACUUUAACCACCAACACCCCUUGCCUCCAUAACGUACAUGGGACAGUCCACUUUAACCACCAACACCCCUUGCCUCCAUAACGUACAUGGGACAGUCCACUUUAACCACCAACACCCCUUGCCUCCAUAACGUACAUGGGACAGUCCACUUUAACCACCAACACCCCUUGCCUCCAUAACGUACAUGGGACAGUCCACUUUAACCACCAACACCCCUUGCCUCCAUAACGUACAUGGGACAGUCCACUUUAACCACCAACACCCCUUGCCUCCAUAACGUACAUGGGACAGUCUCACAUUUCUUCUGGAAUAAGACAUGACAGUCAUCCACUCCAGUUCACCCAAUGGGAUUCCAACAGAAUUACUUUUAUUCUACUGCACAUGUCUAAAGCACUGCCUUUCUGUUUAAAACAUCUAUGACAUCACACUGAGCUGCUGAUGUACUUAUUGAACAUGAUACAUGUACUUCUAUUUUCUAAUUCACUAUAUUAUGCUUUUAUUGAAACUUGAAGAAUGCAGAUGAAGAUUUCUGAGGGCACUUCAAUAUGCCACUAUUUCAACAACAUAUAAUAAGCCUGUAUAAUUGAGACAUGUUUACCUUCUCGUCGUAUCAAAUGUGACAAUAUGACAGUACAUUGCAGCACUUGCCACUUGUCAGGUCGCCAUUGUAAACAAUGAUUUGUCUCACCUGGAUAAUUAAAUGUUAGAUUAAACAAAUAAUACAUUGUUCCUCACCGGUUUUGCAAACCAGUUGACUUCUCUAUCCAAACAGCUUCUAUCCAAACAGUAAAUGUUGACAUGUAUUAAU